rnacentral:rRNA from 1 species
UACAGAGGUCUCAAGCGUUGUUCGGAUUCAUUGGGCGUAAAGGGUGCGUAGGUGGCGGGGUAAGUCAGGUGUGAAAUCUCGGGGCCAACCCCGAAACUGCACUUGAUACUGCCUUGCUCGAGUACUGGAGAGGAGAUUGGAAUUUACGGUGUAGCAGUGAAAUGCGUAGAUAUCGUAAGGAAGACCAGUGGCGAAGGCGGGUCUCUGGACAGUUCCUGACGCUGAGGCACGAAGGUCAGGGGAGCAAACGGG